rnacentral:misc_RNA from 1 species
CUAGACAUUGGAGAUUAUGAGGUAAUUCUUGCUAGUUGAUUUUACCUAUCUUUGUUAGCAAAUUCUAGAGCUUGAAUUUAUUGUGGUAGUUGAUAAAGCUGAUCCUUUCAAUGUAUAUAUUAAAUCUUAUUGCAUAUGAUUUCAGAUGAGAAUUAGAUGAUAUGAUAAAUGCAUAAAUGUCAUGGAUUCUUAAAAUGAUAAUGAAAUUCGAGUUCUGGAUCUGGAUCAAAGUUCUAUAUUAUCGGUUAUUACUGACCCAGACAAAUAAAAUGGGUUGAUACUUAAUAAGUUGUAUAGUGGCUGUUCUUUCAUUUCUACACAGUUCAGGUUAAUGCGGCUAGCAUUAGAAUCCAACCACAUUUGGGGUACCAUUAGACUGCGUAAAGGCUGAUUCUUCCCUUUCCUUUGCUUGUUGUGGUAUAGAACUUGCUGGAACUGCUAUCUCUGAGUGGUUCAUUGCAUUUUUUGUUUACUUCUUGGGAGAUAAUUUUGAGCCAUCAAAAUAAUUUCAGUGCUGAUACAAAUGUGCAUUUUUUUUUUUGUAAAAAACAUUUUUAAUGUGACAGGUUAAAUUGAAUCAUCGGAAGUUGUUGGAUGGUAUGCUAGAAAUUUGUGGAGUGCCACCUGAAAAGUUUCGUACUAUUUGUUCAAGCAUUGACAAACUAGACAAGCAAUCCUUUGAACAAGUUAAAAAAGAAAUGGUUGAGGAGAAGGGAUUAAAUGUUGAGACAGCAGACA